UUCCUCCCACCUCUGCAGCAACACAAGAUUUCUCUUCAAAUUCCUACUCAAGGACCGAGACAACAGAGACUCAAGAACCAUUCUUUCCAAAUCCUUGCAAAUUUGAUUUCUCAUCCACUAAGAAACCAAGAAUCCAGAUUCAGGGAGAAGAAACCAAC